rnacentral:pre_miRNA from 14 species
GUUGAUGGGAAUGUUGUUUGGCUCGAGGUAAUAACUAACUCAAUUUCUUUGUCUUUGAAAGCUUUUCUUUGUUUCACUCUUUUUGAUUCUUAGAAAGUUGAAACUAAGUGAGCUUUAAAGGUUUGAUUUUGAUGUGUGAUUAUCUCGGACCAGGCUUCAUUCCUACCAAC